GGUAAAGUUUUUUCAGAACUCAAUAAAUCUGGAUUAUGCAGGUUCAACUCCUGCCUCUACCU
rnacentral:tRNA from 1 species